GGGCGUACGCUGGCGGCGUGGCUAAUACAUGCAAGUCGAGCGGACAGAAGGGAGCUUGCUCCCGGAUGUUAGCGGCGGACGGGUGAGUAACACGUGGGUAACCUGCCUGUAAGACUGGGAUAACUCCGGGAAACCGGAGCUAAUACCGGAUAGUUCCUUGAACCGCAUGGUUCAAGGAUGAAAGACGGUUUCGGCUGUCACUUACAGAUGGACCCGCGGCGCAUUAGCUAGUUGGUGGGGUAAUGGCUCACCAAGGCGACGAUGCGUAGCCGACCUGAGAGGGUGAUCGGCCACACUGGGACUGAGACACGGCCAGACUCCUACGGGAGGCAGCAGUAGGGAAUCUUCCGCAAUGGACGAAAGUCUGACGGAGCAACGCCGCGUGAGUGAUGAAGGUUUUCGGAUCGUAAAGCUCUGUUGUUAGGGAAGAACAAGUGCGAGAGUAACUGCUCGCACCUUGACGGUACCUAACCAGAAAGCCACGGCUAACUACGUGCCAGCAGCCGCGGUAAUACGUAGGUGGCAAGCGUUGUCCGGAAUUAUUGGGCGUAAAGGGCUCGCAGGCGGUUUCUUAAGUCUGAUGUGAAAGCCCCCGGCUCAACCGGGGAGGGUCAUGGAAACUGGGAAACUUGAGUGCAGAAGAGGAGAGUGGAAUUCCACGUGUAGCGGUGAAAUGCGUAGAGAUGUGGAGGAACACCAGUGGCGAAGGCGACUCUCUGGUCUGUAACUGACGCUGAGGAGCGAAAGCGUGGGGAGCGAACAGGAUUAGAUACCCUGGUAGUCCACGCCGUAAACGAUGAGUGCUAAGUGUUAGGGGGUUCCGCCCCUUAGUGCUGCAGCUAACGCAUUAAGCACUCCGCCUGGGGAGUACGGUCGCAGACUGAAACUCAAAGGAAUUGACGGGGCCCGCACAAGCGGUGGGAGCAUGUGGUUUAAUUCGAAGCC
rnacentral:rRNA from 2 species